rnacentral:rRNA from 1 species
CCCGCACAAGCGGAGGAACAUGUGGUUUAAUUCGAUGAUACGCGAGGAACCUUACCUGGGCUUAAAUGUAGAGUGCUAUGGGGUAGAAAUAUCCCUUUCCUUCGGGACUCUUUGCAAGGUGCUGCAUGGUUGUCGUCAGCUCGUGCCGUGAGGUGUCGGGUUAAGUCCCAUAACGAGCGCAACCCUUAUCGUUAGUUGCCAGCGGGUCAUGCCGGGAACUCUAACGAAACUGCCGGUGUAAACCGUGAGGAAGGUGGGGAUGACGUCAAAUCGGCACGGCCCUUAUGUCCAGGGCUACACACGUGUUACAAUGGCCGGUACAGAGGGCAGCUACCUGGAGACAGGAUGCGAAUCUCCAAAGCCGGUCUCAGUUCGGAUCGGAGUCUGCAACUCGACUCCGUGAAGCUGGAUUCGCUAGUAAUCGCGCAUCAGCCAUGGCGCGGUGAAUACGUUCCCGGGCCUU